UGGAUCACCUCCUAACAGGGAGACAACAAAAUGUUUAUAUUAUUAUUUUGUCACCUUAGGUCGAUCGGUAUCUCACGUUCUUAAUUUGUUAAGAAUUUCAUUUCCUAAGUUUUUCUAGGUCACACCCAUUAUUUUUCCUGGGCCAUUAGCUCAGGUGGUUAGAGCGCACCCCUGAUAAGGGUGAGGUCCCUGGUUCAAGUCCAGGAUGGCCCAUAUCUCUAUGUUGGGGGUAUAGCUCAGUUGGUAGAGCGCCUGCUUUGCAAGCAGGAUGUCAGCGGUUCGAGUCCGCUUACCCCCACUGAUUACCACCUCUUCCAUAAUCCGUAGAAAGGAAAUGUUUUGAGUUGUGAUCAUUAUUCUGAACGAAUCUAGCUUCCUAAUGAAAUCAUUAAGAUGCUGGACUCAUUGAAUUAAUUUCACUGUUUUCAGAGAACCUUGACAACUGCAUAGAUUAUUUUUAAAGACAAUAAGCAUCUUUAAUGAUGCAGAUUUAUUAUUUGUGCGAAUGCAUUAAUAACAAUUCUAUUAAGCUGAUGCUUCAAUUUUGAAGUUAUUGGUCAAGCUACAAAGGGCUCACGGAGGAUACCUAGGCACACAGAGGCGAUGAAGG
rnacentral:tRNA from 1 species